rnacentral:rRNA from 1 species
CACGUAGGCACCAAGCGUUGUCCGGAAUUAUUGGGCGUAAAGAGCUCGUAGGCGGUUUGUCGCGUCGAAUGUGAAAACCCGGGGCUCAACCCCGGGCCUGCAUUCGAUACGGGCAGACUAGAGUUCGGUAGGGGAGUCUGGAAUUCCUGGUGUAGCGGUGAAAUGCGCAGAUAUCAGGAGGAACACCGGUGGCGAAGGCGGGACUCUGGGCCGAUACUGACGCUGAGGAGCGAAAGCGUGGGGAGCAAACAGG